rnacentral:rRNA from 1 species
AGCGGUGAAAUGCGUAGAGAUCUGGAGGAAUACCGGUGGCGAAGGCGGCCCCCUGGACGAAGACUGACGCUCAGGUGCGAAAGCGUGGGGAGCAAACAGGAUUAGAUACCCUGGUAGUCCACGCCGUAAACGAUGUCGACUUGGAGGUUGUGCCCUUGAGGCGUGGCUUCCGGAGCUAACGCGUUAAGUCGACCGCCUGGGGAGUACGGCCGCAAGGUUAAAACUCAAAUGAAUUGACGGGGGCCCGCACAAGCGGUGGAGCAUGUGGUUUAAUUCGAUGCAACGCGAAGAACCUUACCUGGUCUUGACAUCCACGGAAGUUUUCAGAGAUGAGAAUGUGCCUUCGGGAACCGUGAGACAGGUGCUGCAUGGCUGUCGUCAGCUCGUGUUGUGAAAUGUUGGGUUAAGUCCCGCAACGAGCGCAACCCUUAUCCUUUGUUGCCAGCGGUCCGGCCGGGAACUCAAAGGAGACUGCCAGUGAUAAACUGGAGGAAGGUGGGGAUGACGUCAAGUCAUCAUGGCCCUUACGACCAGGGCUACACACGUGCUACAAUGGCGCAUACAAAGAGAAGCGACCUCGCGAGAGCAAGCGGACCUCAUAAAGUGCGUCGUAGUCCGGAUUGGAGUCUGCAACUCGACUCCAUGAAGUCGGAAUCGCUAGUAAUCGUGGAUCAGAAUGCCACGGUGAAUACGUUCCCGGGCCUUGUACACACCGCCCGUCACACCAUGGGAGUGGGUUGCAAAAGAAGUAGGUAGCUUAACCUUCGGGAGGGCGCUUACCACUUUGUGAUUCAUGACUGGGGUGAAGUCGUAACAAGGUAACCGUAGGGGAACCUGCGGUUGGAUCACCUCCUUACCUUAAAGAAGC